GCUUCCGUGGUCCAAUGGUUAGGAUUCCACCCUUCCACUCAUCAGUGAGCUAGGUGGAGGUUCGUGUUCGAUUCACGGCGGUUGCA
rnacentral:tRNA from 1 species